rnacentral:misc_RNA from 1 species
UAGGCCAGUGGCUUCGGACAAACAAAAAUACAUAUCCUUGCUUUUACAACUGACGUAAAACUUGUUUUAAUCAGCUACACUUGAUCCGAGACGGUUGGCCAUAGUUUUAUUCUGAAAAAGGGGAUUCAGAUUGAUGUUAAUAAGCAGCCUAUAAGCCAGGACAAGAAACUUCAUUCAACCCAGCCCGAGAUCCUUCCAUCUCAGAGAUCAAAAUCAUCAUUGUCACCUGGUGUCACAGUUUUGGUGAACUACUGCAUGGUGCUCUACCCUCUCUGUACAGGGGCACAAGUAGUGGUGGAGGCAUCCAUACCCAGUUCCUAACUACUGUAAGCAGUUGAACCAUAAGUAACAUAAAGAAUGGACAAUCCACGCCAGCUACUUGUCUUGUAUGGUAGCCAGACAGGUACAGCUGAGGAUACAGCAAACCGAAUAGGCCGAGAAGCCAAGCGACACUGGUUUGAUGUCAGAGUCUUGGCCUUAGAUGCUUAUCCUGUGGCACAGCUGUUGAAAGAGAAGGUGGCAGUGAUAGUCUGUGCUACGACUGGUCAGGGGGACCCUCCAGACAAUAUGAAGAUAUUUUGGCGAUUUAUCAUGCGAAAAAACUUGCCAGUUCAGUCUCUCAGCAACCUUCAGUAUGCUGUCUUGGGGCUAGGUGAUUCCUCCUAUCCAAAGUUCAACUUUGUUUCCAAAAAGCUGCAUAAGCGCUUGGAACAGAUUGGUGCUCAUGCACUAGUGAAUGUUGGGCUAGCUGAUGAGCAACACGACCUGGGGUCUGAUGCUGUCAUUGAUCCAUGGAUAUCACAGUUAUGGGACAAAAUACUGCAGCUCUUUCCUCUCCCUAGUGGCAAGAACAUCAUUCCAGCAGAAGUCAGACUGCCUCCCCGCUACCAUGUUGUGUUCUUGGAUAUGAUGGAAGCCAUACCAACAAAGAGAUAUGAGUUUGAUGCUACUAACCAAACAGUCAUAAAGCAGCAGCGGCAGCCAGAUGCCAGCUCUCCAUAUCUGGCUUCUCUUGCUGCUAAUGAGCGAGUGACUGCAAAGGACCACUUUCAGGAUGUCCGCUUGCUGACUUUUGACAUUGCAGACUCUGGCAUCAGGUACAAGCCAGGUGAUGUAGCAAUGAUACACCCAGAAAAUGUGGAGGAAAGGGUGGAAGAAUUUUUAAAUCACAUGGGUUUGGAUGGAAGCAGACUGUUCUUGAUCCAGCAGAAUGACCCUAAUGUGCCAUUACCAAGCAGUCUUCCUCAACCCUGCAGCAUAGCAUGUGUGGUGUGCACAUACUUUGACUUCUGCAGUGUGCCACGUCGCAGUUUUUUUGAGAUGCUGUUACAGUUUGCUGAGGAUGAUAUAGAGCGUGAAAAACUGCAGGAGUUCUGUACUCCCGAAGGACAGGAUGCCAGGUUCUCCUACUGUAACCGCGUUAGACGUACCAUCAUGGAGGUUAUGCAAGAUUUCCUUCUAACGAGUUCUCGUGUGCCCUUUGAGUACUUGUUUGACCUCAUUCCACCUCUCCAACCACGAGCUUUCUCCAUUGCCUCCUCUCCUACAGUCCACCCAGGCCGGCUGCAAGUUCUGAUGGCUGUGGUCAGGUAUCAGACACGACUGCAACAUCCACGACAAGGGGUAUGCUCUACCUGGCUGGCAUCUUUGAGGCCAGAGUCAGGGGUUAAGAUCCCUCUGUGGGUCAAGAGCAGUAGCAUCACAUUUCCUGAUGAUAUCAUAACACCAAUCAUUAUGGUGGGGCCUGGUACUGGGGUGGCUCCUUUCAGAAGUUUCAUCCAUGAAAGAGCAGCACUGGGUGUUGGCGUACAAGGACUUUUACUGCCAUGAGGAGUGGUCUGCCUUACAAUCACAGGGUCGCCUGCUGCUCUUCACAGCCUUUUCUCGUGACCAGGAGGAGAAGAUAUAUGUUCAAGAUCGCCUUCGUCAAAACGGACAUUUGAUCUGGACCUUGCUUCAUGACCAGCUGGGUAGAUUCUACAUUGCUGG